AUGUUCUCAGAGAGUGUGUCUCCGUCCACAGGUAUCACAUUCCCUCCAUGUUCUGAGCCAGAAGCAGCUUCAACAGAGGGCAAUCCUGCAGGAAUGGGAGUAUUCUCUGAGAAACUAUCUCCUACAGCAGGUAUGUUUCUUCUCUGUGUUUGUGAUCAUGUUUGCUUCCACGGAGGGCAAGCCAUAGUAUCCAGAAUGUUCUCAGAGAGUGUGUCUCCUUCCACAGGUAUCACAUUCCCUCCAUGUUCUGAGACAGAAGCAGCUUCAACAGAGGGCAAUCCUGCAGGAAUGGGAGUGUUCUCAGGGACACUAUCUCCUACAGCAGGUAUUGUUUCUUCUCUGUGUUUUGUGAUCAUGUUUGCUUCCACAGAGGGCAAGCUCAUAGUAUCCAGAAUGUUCUCAGAGAGUGUGUCUCCUUCCACAGGUAUCGCAUUCCCUUCAUGUUCUGAGACAGAAGCAGCUUCAACAGAGGGCAAUCCUGCAGGAAUGGGAGUAUUCUCUGAGAGACUAUCUCCUACAGCAGGUAUUGUUUCUUCUCUGUGUUUUGUGAUCAUGUUUGCUUCCACAGAGGGCAAGCCCAUAGUAUCCAGAAUGUUCUCAGAGAGUGUGUCUCCUUCCACAGGUAUCACAUUCCCUCCGUGUUCUGAGCCAGAAGCAGCUUCAACAGAGGGCAAUCCUGCAGGAAUGGGAGUAUUCUCUGAGAAACUAUCUCCUACAGCAGGUAUUGUUUCUUCUCUGUGUUUUGUGAUCAUCUUUGCUUCCACGGAGGGCAAGCCCAUAGUAUGCAGAAUGUUCUCAGAGAGUGUGUCUCCUUCCACAGGUAUCACAUUCCCUCCAUGUUCUGAGCCAGAAGCAGCUUCAACAGAGGGCGAUCCUGCAGGAAUGGGAGUACUCUUGGAGAGACUCUCUCCUACAGCAGGUAUUGUGUCUUCUCCAUGUUUUGUGAUAAUGUUUGAUUCUAGAAAGAACAAGCCUGUAGUAUCCAGAAUGUUCUCAGAGAGUGUGUCUCCUUCCACAGGUAUCGCAUUCCCUCCAUGUUCUAAGACAGAAGCUGCUUUGACAGAGGGCGAUACUGCAGGAAUGGGAGUACUCUCAGAGAGACUCUCUCCUACAGCAGGUAUUGCAUUCCGUCCAUGCUCUGAGACAGAAGCUGCUUUGACAGAGGGCGAUACUGCAGGAAUGGGAGUAUUCUCGGAGAGACUCUCUCCUACAGCAGGUAUCUAUGUUUUGUGAUUAUGUUUGCUUCCACAGAGAGCAACGAACAGUAUCCAGAAUGUUCUCAGGGAGUGUGUCUCUUUCCACAGGUAUUGCAUUCCACCCAUGUUCUGAGACAGAAGCUGCUUUGACAGAGGGCGAUACUGCAGGAAUGGGAGUAUUCUCGGAGAGACUCUCUCCUACAGCAGGUAUCUAUGUUUUGUGAUUAUGUUUGCUUCCACAGAGAGCAAACGAACAGUAUCCAGAAUGUUCUCAGGGAGUGUGUCUCUUUCCACAGGUAUUGCAUUCCACCCAUGUUCUGAGACAGAAGCUGCUUUGACAGAAAGUAAUAUUGCAGGAAUGGGAGUAUUCUCUGAGAAACUCUCUCCUACCGCAGGUAUCUAUGUUUUGUGAUCAUGUUUGCUUCCACAGAGAGCAAGCCCACAGUAUCCAGAAUGUUCUCAGAGCGUGUCUCUUUCCACAGGUAUUGCAUUCCACCCAUGCUCUGAGACAGAAGCUGCUUUGACAGAGGGCGAUACUGCAGGAAUGGGAGUACUCUUGGAGAGACUCUCUCCUACAGCAGGUAUCUGUGAUCAUGCUUCCACAGAGAGCAAGCGAACAGUAUCCAGAAUGUUCUCAGAGAGUGUGUCUCUUUCCACAGGUAUUGCAUUCCACCCAUGCUCUGAGACAGAAGCUGCUUUGACAGAAA
rnacentral:lncRNA from 1 species